GCUGCUUUGACUCCCUGUCUUAGAGCACCUGUUAGGAGAUCAUCUGGAGGAUUAUCAACUCUGCCGGGUGAAGGGGAAGAAUGAGGGAAAAUGUGCAGAGAUUAAGAAGCCUAACUGUUGAUAAAAUCCAAUAUCCUCAGACAAUGGAGAAAAGGGAAGAAGAGAGGUGUCAGUUUUACUCCUUAAUUAUCUAAGAAGCACCUUAUCACGUGUACCCUCUUCCCCCUCUCAUGGACACCUGGGCUCUGUAUGCUGUGCUGUGCAGACAACUGGGCUGGUUCAGAAACUCUGAAGCUGGCUGUAUCAGCAAAAUGGCAUACAACAGGGAGUUGAGGAAAUUUCCAUCAUUCUGUGGAAAAGACUCAUGUUUGCAGCCAU